AUACAAAAACAAGAAAGAAAACAACGACAAAAACAACGACUACAUGGAACGCUUUCUUCUUUGGUUGUUUCUGGCAACAAUCCUCCUUCUUCUCCUCCUUCUGCUUCUAUUUUUUCUUCUUCUUCUUCUCUCUCUU
rnacentral:ribozyme from 13 species